rnacentral:rRNA from 1 species
AAUGGGCGAAAGCCUGACGGAGCAACGCCGCGUGAGGGAUGAAGGCCUCUGGGCUGUAAACCUCUUUUAUCAAGGAAGAAGAUCUGACGGUACUUGAUGAAUAAGCCACGGCUAAUUCCGUGCCAGCAGCCGCGGUAAUACGGGAGUGGCAAGCGUUAUCCGGAAUUAUUGGGCGUAAAGCGUCCGCAGGCGGCCCUUCAAGUCUGCUGUUAAAAAGUGGAGCUUAACUCCAUCAUGGCAGUGGAAACUGUUGGGCUUGAGUGUGGUAGGGGCAGAGGGAAUUCCCGGUGUAGCGGUGAAAUGCGUAGAUAUCGGGAAGAACACCAGUGGCGAAGGCGCUCUGCUGGGCCAUCACCGCCGCUCAUGGACGAAAGCCAGGGGAGCGAAAGGGAUU